AUUGAACGCUGGCGGCAUGCCUAACACAUGCAAGUCGAACGGUAACACGAAGAAGCUUGCUUCUUUGCUGACGAGUGGCGGACGGGUGAGUCAUGUCUGUGAAACUGCCUGAUGGAUGGGGAUACCUACUGGAAACGGUAGCUAAUACCGCAUAACUUCGCAAGCCCAAAGAGGGGUACCUUCGGGCCUCUUUCCUUCGGCUUUUCCCAGAUGGGAUUAGCUAGUAGGUAGGGUAACGGCUCACCUAGGCGACGAUCCCUAGCUGGUCUGAGAGGAGGACCAGCCACACUGGAACUGAGACACGGUCCAGACUCCUACGGGAGGCAGCAGUGGGGAAUAUUGCACAAUGGGCGAAAGCCUGAUGCAGCAAUGCCGCGUGUAUGAAGAAGGCCUUCGGGUUGUAAAGUACUGUCAGCGGGGAGGAAGGGAGGAAAGAUAAAACAUGUACGCAUUGACGUUACCCGAAGAAGAAGCACCGGCUAACUACGUG
rnacentral:rRNA from 1 species